UACAGAGGGUGCGAGCGUUGUUCGGAAUUAUUGGACGUAAAGGGCGCGUAGGCGGUGCGGUAAGUCACCUGUGAAAUCUCCUGGCUCAACUGGGAGCUUGCAGGCGAAACUGCCGUGCUGGAGUGUGGGAGAGGUGCGUGGAAUUCCUGGUGUAGCGGUGAAAUGCGUAGAUAUCAGGAGGAACACCUGUGGCGAAAGCGGCGCACUGGACCACAACUGACGCUGAGGCGCGAAAGCUAGGGGAGCAAACAGG
rnacentral:rRNA from 1 species